GCGUGAGAGGCUGCAUGGGUGGUAAGAUGGAUGCUCUUGGUUGGUGACACACCUGAGGUCAAUGUAGAACAUCUUAUCCAGCACUGAGGUUGCAUGGGAAUUCCCUGGGCCCCUGGUGGAAGGAAUUACUUCACAGAAAGAAACUUGCAGAAUGAUUUGCCCUCCUGAGAAAGAUCCUAGAUAUGUUGCUUUUUGCAAUAAUAUGAGCCUGACUACUGGGGAUGCCAACCUGUCACAUCAGUAGCAAAAGUUUUGACAUUACUGCCAGAAUCCGAGGAUACAUCAGCUGAAGUAAUAGUUCACUGAUUCAAGAAAAUUCCAAAAGACCCCAAAGAACAAUCCACAUCCAGAGAGAGAACUAUGGAGACUGAAUGUGGAUCAAAGCAUAGUAAGUAUUUUCAACUUUUGUUGUUGCUGUUGUUUGUUUGCUUGUUUUUUUCUUUCUUGUGUUUACCUCAGAAAUUGAUAUGAUUUUAUCAGUUGAAAUAAAAAAAUAGUACUACACUCUAAGGAUCAUGGGACCUUUCCAUUUGAUCUAUAGCUUCCAUAUUUUUGAUCUUUCUAAGCAACAAGAUUGCUCAGAGGAUAGUGCACUGGAUCUAAAGACCUGAAUUUAAAACCAACCUCAGACACUUAUUAACUGUCUGGUCCUGGACAAGUUGUGUAAAUCCCUUUCAGUUUGGAAGCAAACCCAGGUAUGCCUGAUUUCAAGGUCACUUCUCUAUCCAUCCUGCCAAAAAUUUUAUACACUAAAUUGAUAUUGUAUACUGCUACAUAUGGAAGAAAACCAAAGUUAGACAUGUAAACUUAUUUGUAAAAGUUAAUAGAAAUUUCUACAACAUGUGAAAUGGACUAUAGAGAAAGAUGUGUCUGUAGUUAAUUGUCUUGAAAGAACAAAACUGCAUUAAUUCUAGUCUCUCCUGAUUGAUAUAAAUUACACAUAGGUUGUAGAAAGGAUAAAGAACAAGAAGACCUGAAUUUAAAUUUGCUCUCAGACAUUACUACUAGUGAUACCCUGGAUAAAUCAUUCAAUCCAUGUUUUCCUCAUUUUCUUCAACUGUGAAAUGGAAUAAUGAUAAUAGCUCCUACUUUACAGGGUUAUUGUGAAAAUCAAAGAAGAUAAUAUUUGUAAAGUGUUUAACACACUAGUGCAAAAUAGGCGCUGUAUAAAUGCUUAUUCCCCUGCCAGGGAAUAUCUAGAGAAUAUUUAUAGAGACACUAUGAUAUUUCACCUAUCAAAGACAUUAUAACUGCUACUGUGGAACCUGAGUUAAGGGAAGUAGAAAUAGAGUGAGAAAAGUUCUUUUGGGACUUUAAUAGGCAAUACACUAAAAGUAAAUUUUAAGAUUGCAAGAAGAUACAGAUUCAUCUGAGUUUAAAUGAAUGAAUUUAUAGUCGUCUCAUUCAGGACUCUUACAUAACUUUCUCCACUAACUUUAAGCACCCCAAGAGAGAGUUAAUUGAUUAACAAAAAAAACAAAAUUUAUCAAAUGUUAUUAUGUGCUCAGGAUUGGGCUACAUGCUAGAGAUACAAAGAUAAAAAAUGAAAAAAUGUUUGCCUAUUGUGCAAAAUAUUGGGAAGAUAAUAUGUACACAUAUAGGUGAUACAAAUUAGCUUUGAGGUGAUAGCCAGAGGUAGGAGGACAAAAAAGGGAGAUUUACCAGCCAGAGAAUCAGAAAAGCCUCAAGCUUCAAAUGGUGCUUCAGUUAAGUCUUAAAGGAAACUGGAUAUUCUGAAACAGCAAUGAGAAGUCCAUCGCAGACAUGAGGUAUGGUCAGAGUAAAGACACGGAGAUAAGAAACUGAGCAGACAUAAAGAAAAUGAACAUGGAUCAAGAAUGGGACAAGAGCAAAUAGAGUUCACAUGAGAUUCCCUCAUAAGACUGUGAACAUUGUGAAAGUAGGAACUGGCUUUUGCCUUUCUAUUUCCCACACCUAACAUAUUGCUUGGCACAUAGUAGGCUCUUAAUAAAUAUUUAAAUGACUGGUUGACUAUAGUGUAGGUUCAUGGCAUGGGUAUAGCAGGUCAAAGGAAGAAGGGAUUUUAGAGUGCUGAAGAAUCAUUGAAAUGGCUGAGUGUGAGACUCUAUUUGAGAAGCCUCCCCGAAUCAUAGCUAUAUUGAUGAAAUAUAUUUUAGAGAUUUUACCUAACCUACCAUUUUCAUAAAUAAGAAAGAAUAAGGCAGGGAAACAAAGAACAAUAAGUAAAUGAUAAGGGAGUUAAAAUAUAACUACUAUGACAAUAAAUGCACUUUAUUUUUGCAGUCCAAUUUUCUUAAGGAAGGUAAAUAAAAUCAGGCAGAGGAGAACUGAUGGACUGAAAGAAGGUUGAAGAGAUUGGCCUUUAUGGUUCCUAUUAGCUUUAAACCUUAGGAUACUAAGAAAGAAGAAAGAGGAGCAAAGAAACUUAGUGCUCUUAAUAAGGACAAAUAACAGAUUAAGAAGGAGGGAGACCAGGACUACUUCAUUUCUCCACUACCAAUCUUCACAUUAAUAAUGCUUCUAAAAAGUAAAUUUGAGAAGGAAAUGAAUCCAAUUCAGUGGGAAUAGACAAAUCCUUUCACUUGUUUGAUUUACCAUUAGAAUUUCAUCAAUGACUAUUAUUGGUUCAUUUAAAGCUAUAAAAGGAAGGUGUACCACUCUUUUAUUCAGAUUAACAGUUCCAAUAUCUUCCCACUGAAUUGGAUUCAUUUCCUUCUCAAAUUUACUUUUUAGAAGCAUUAUUAGUGUGAAGGGUGGUGGUGGGGAAAUGAAUUGUGGUUUGGAAAGAAUGACUAUUAGCCUGAGUACAAUAUGAGUUGGGUUUAAGUUUGGGGUUUCUUUUUUUUUUUUUUUUUUGAUUGUUAUCCCAAAGACUUUAUGGUUCAAUUUUUUUUUUUUUGGCAGAAGUUGUUUUGUGAACAAAAGGCAGCAUGAUCCAAAUAUCACUGGCUCUUGAGUCAGAGAAUCUACUUCAAAUCUGGCCUUUAUAAUAUACUAUUUAUUUGUCCUUGAGCAAAUAGUUUAAUUUUUCUGGUCCCCGGUUUCCUGAUUUAUAAAAUAAAAGAUUUAAACCAAAUUGUCCCUAAUUUCCUUUUCUACAUCUAUGUAUAAUCCUACAAAGUAUUUAUUUUAUCUUCUGGAGGUAAGCAGCACAGAUUCUAUAUUCUUCUGAAUAUCUGGCUUCUCCAAAUAUCUGGCUUUUAGUCUUGGUCCUAUCAAUAACUAUGACCUUGGAUGAACUAUUCCAUAUCUGUAAGCUGUAUUUUCUGCAUAUAAAAUGAAAAGUCCACACCCAUUGAAUUUCAAGGACUCCCCCAAUUCUACUUUUCUAUGCUUGUUAAAAAGCAGCUAAAAUGUUAAGCCUAAGCAAUUACUCUCACAACAAUGCUUUAAGAUGAAUCUAAUAAAAAUUUAAUUAUUUCAAUUAUCCAAAUGUAUAAUAUAAAAUACAUUAAACUGACAAUAUAGCUAUAGUUAUAUUAUUUGUAUUAUGUAUUAUUACAUAUAAUAUACUAUAAUGUUAAAUAUGAAUUCGAUUAUACUUGACUAUAUAUGAAUCUG